AUCGUCUUUAUUUAAAUAUUCUCUAAUAAACUUUUAAAUCUGUUCUUAUCAGUUUAAUAUCUGAUACGUUCUCUAUCUGAGGACUAUAUAUUAAAUGGAUUUUUGGAACAGGGAGAUGGAAUAGGAUCUUGCUCCAUCCACUCCACGCAUCGACCUGGUAUUGCAGCACCUCCAGGAACGGCGCACCUCCC
ensembl:snRNA U2 U2 spliceosomal RNA